rnacentral:lncRNA from 1 species
AGGAAGCAAAGUCUGUGAAAUAGUGACAUGCCGCUUAGGUAGGCACAGCUACUUAAAAGUGCCCUGUAAGGCUUGAAUUGAGCAGUUAGAAGACCUGAGUCUGGGUGAGAUUUCUGGGGGAGUGGUUGUAGAGAAGAAAGGAAUGAAGAAUGAAGAAAACAGAGAUGGGAGGAUUAGAAAACUUCUUGGAAUUCAAAGAAAGAGAAUCCUUCAAAAAGGGGAUCAUCAGCUUCAGAGAACUGCAGAUAGACAAGAUGAACAUCACUGGACAAUGUAGAUUCACUGGAACUCGAGGUUGAAGAUGAUUAAACCAAAUGGAUGAUAUAAAAGUGGAAGCAGUGGGUGGAGAACAGAAGUUUGGCAGAGAAACGAAGGAGAGGAGCAGGGUAGUGUAUGAAUGGAACAACUUCACCAAGGUUUUUUGUUUCUAGGGCAGAGGAGGCUUUUUUUUUUUUUUUUUUUUUAGACAGAGUCUUGCCCUAUUGCCAGGCUGGAGUGCAGUGGCAGAAUCUCGGCUCACUGCAACCUCUGCCUCCCAGGUUCAAGCGAUUCUCCUGCCUCAACCCCCCGGGUAGCUGGGGCUACAGGCGCGCGCCACCAUGCCCAGCGAAUUUUCGUAUUUUUAGUAGAGACGGGGUUUCACCAUAUUGGCCAAGAUGGUCUCAAUCUCUUGACCUCGUGAUCUGCCCGACUUGGCUUCCCAAAGUGUUGGGAUUACAGGAAUGAGCCACCGCGCCAGCCAAGGAGGCUUUUUCUGAAGGGUAGACAGAGAGAAGAAGCAGUGAACCAGAAGACACUAACUAAGUGAAGUUACUAGAAAGAGAGAGAGAGAGUCAAUGGAAUAAGGAGGAAAGUAAGACUGACAGUAGUAGAGAGAACAGAUAAAGAGGGGAGCAGUACAUUCCCUGUCUGAGACUGGUGAAGAGGAUGAAAGAAAGGGUGUAAGGAGAGAUGCUUGGAAGCUGAAGGGAGAGGAGAUGAGGCAUCUCUAAUGUGUUUCCAGCAUAGAUAAGACAGUAACAUGAGAUGUCUGCUGCAUUAAACAGUGUCUGUGGAUCAAGUUGCAGUGGGGAUGUCCAAAUUGCUUUACUCCCCAUGAGACCUCACAGAAGAUUAUGUUACUGCAAACUGAUGUUUGAGCUAGGAAAAAAAUUUAAAAGGACACACAGUCUCUGCUGUAUA